rnacentral:rRNA from 1 species
UACGUAGGGGGCAAGCGUUGUCCGGAAUCAUUGGGCGUAAAGCGCGUGUAGGCGGUUUGGUAAGUCUGCUCUGAAAGCCCGGGGCUCAACCCCGGGAGGCGGGUGGAUACUGUCAAGCUCGAGUCCGGAAGAGGAGUGUGGAGUUCCUGGUGUAGCGGUGAAAUGCGCAGAUAUCAGGAGGAACACCAAUGGCGAAGGCAGCACUCUGGGACGUGACUGACGCUGAGACGCGAAAGCGUGGGGAGCAAACAGG